CACGGAGUUAGCCGGUGCUUAUUCUGCAGGUACCGUCAUCACGCUACACGUAGCGCUUAUUCUUCCCUGUCAAAAGCAGUUUACGACUCAGAAAGCCUUCUUCCUGCACGCGGCAUGGCUGGGUCAGACUCUCGUCCAUUGCCCAAUAUUCCCUGCUGCUGCCUCCCGUAGGAGUCGGGCCCGUAUCUCAGUGCCCGUGUGGGGGACCAGCCUCUCAGCUCCCCCUAGUCAUCGUCGCCUUGGUAAGCCGUUACCUUACCAACUAGCUAAUGACCCGCAACCUCAUCUACAACCAAUAAAUCUUUAAUCAAGAGACGAUGCCGCCACCUGAUGUCAUGCGGUAUAAUCCGCUUUCGGCGGCUAUCCCCAGUUCGUAGGUAGAUUAGUUACGUGUUACGCACCCGUGCGCCACUAUGGUAUUGCUACCACCGUUCGACUUGCAUGUAUUAGGCCUGCCGCUAGCGUUCAUCCUGACGCCAGGAUCAAACUCUACG
rnacentral:rRNA from 1 species